AAACUGCUUUUCUACGGGACGAACGGCUCUGACGUGUCAGAGAUUGACGGUACCGUAGGAAUAAGCAUCGGCUAACUCCGUGCCAGCAGCCGCGGUAAUACGGAGGAUGCGAGCGUUAUCCGGAUUUAUUAGGUUUAAAGGGUGCGUAGGCUGGGCAAUAAGUCAGUGGUGAAAGUCCGCGGCUCAACCGUGGGAUUGCCAUUGAAACUGUUGUUCUUGAGUACAGUCGAGGUAGGCGGAAUGUGUAAUGUAGCGGUGAAAUGCAUAGAUAUUACCCAGAACACCGAUUGCGUAGGCAGCUUACCAGCCUGGAACUGACGCUGAUGCACGAAAACGUGGGGAGCGAACAGGAUUAGAUACCCUGGUAGUCCACGCCGUAAACGAUGAUCACUCGCUGUUGGCAAUAUAGAGUCAGCGGCUGAGCGAAAGCAUUAAGUGAUCCACCUGGGGAGUACGUCGGCAACGAUGAAACUCAAAGGAAUUGACGGGGGCCCGCACAAGCGGUGGAACAUGUGGUUUAAUUCGAUGAUACGCGAGGAACCUUACCUGGGCUUAAAUGUAACCGGACGAUUCCGGAAACGGGAUUUCCUUAACGGCUGGUUACAAGGUGCUGCAUGGCUGUCGUCAGCUCGUGCCGUGAGGUGUCGGGUUAAGUCCCAUAACGAGCGCAACCCUUAUUCUUAGUUGCCAGCGGGUAGAGCCGGGGACUCUAAGGAGACUGCCACCGUAAGGUGUGAGGAAGGUGGGGAUGACGUCAAGUCAGCACGGCCCUUACGUCCAGGGCUACACACGUGUUACAAUGGCCGGUACAGAAGGCAGCAAACUUGAGAGAGGGCGCGAAUCCAUGAAAGCCGGUCUCAGUUCGGAUUGGAGUCUGCAACCCGACUUCAUGAAGUUGAAUCGCUAGUAAUCGCGCAUCAGCAAUGGCGCGGUGAUACGUUCCCGGGCUUGUACACACCGCCC
rnacentral:rRNA from 1 species